AGAGCGAACGCUGGCGGCAGGCCUAACACAUGCAAGUCGAGCGCCCGUAGCAAUACGGGAGCGGCAGACGGGAUAGUAACACGUGGGAACGCGCCCUUCGGUUCGGAAUAACUCAGGGAAACUUGAGCUAAUACCGGAUACGCCCUUACGGGGAAAGAUUUAUUGCCGAAGGAACGGCCCGCGUCCGAUUAGCUAGUUGGUGAGGUAAUGGCUCACCAAGGCGACGAUCGGUAGCUGGUCUGAGAGGAUGACCAGCAUCACUGGGACUGAGACACGGCCCAGACUCCUACGGGAGGCAGCAGUGGGGAAUAUUGGACAUAGGCGGCGAAGCCUGACGCAGCAACGCCGCGUGGAGGACGAAGGCUUUCUGAGUUGUAAACUCCUUUCAGCAGGGACGAUAGUGACGGUACCUGCAGAAGAAGCACCGGCCAACUACGUGCCAGCAGCCGC
rnacentral:rRNA from 1 species